AUCCCGGGGGACAUCUUAGAAUUCUGUCUACCGCAAUAGGCAUUUGCGCUAGAUAAAUACACAGAUGCACAGCACAGGGGUUGGAAAAGAGACUGUUCAAACCACUGAGGAUCAGAUUUUGAAGAGAGAUAUGCCACCAGCAUUUAUUAAGGUUGAGAAUGCUUGCACCAAGCUUGUCCAGGCAGCUCAGAUGCUUCAGUCAGACCCUUACUCAGUGCCUGCUCGAGAUUAUCUAAUUGAUGGGUCAAGGGGCAUCCUCUCUGGAACAUCAGACCUGCUCCUUACCUUCGAUGAGGCUGAGGUCCGUAAAAUUAUUAGAGUUUGCAAAGGAAUUUUGGAAUAUCUUACAGUGGCAGAGGUGGUGGAGACUAUGGAAGAUUUGGUCACUUACACAAAGAAUCUUGGGCCAGGAAUGACUAAGAUGGCCAAGAUGAUUGACGAGAGACAGCAGGAGCUCACUCACCAGGAGCACCGAGUGAUGUUGGUGAACUCGAUGAACACCGUGAAAGAGUUGCUGCCAGUUCUCAUUUCAGCUAUGAAGAUUUUUGUAACAACUAAAAACUCAAAAAACCAAGGCAUAGAGGAAGCUUUAAAAAAUCGCAAUUUUACUGUAGAAAAAAUGAGUGCUGAAAUUAAUGAGAUAAUUCGUGUGUUACAACUCACCUCUUGGGAUGAAGAUGCCUGGGCCAGCAAGGUAAGUGUUCUUAGUGGAGAAAUAAGCAAAAUCCCCAACUCUCCCUGGCUGGGGGUUUUGAUUGGCACCUGUCUCAUACUUUAUCUUGUAAUUUUUGUAGCAUAAGAGUACUCAGAUAUUGUGAAAGUAAUUUCUUCUUCAUUUCUGCUUCAUAGGUUACUUGCUAUCUUUGCUAAUUUCCUUUGUUCUAAGGUAGAACAAGUAAAUAGGCAUGUGGGGUAGAUACUGGUUUAAGGCUGAGAUUUAUAGCUUUUCCAUCAGGCUGGAGUCUUAUUGGUUGGACUGGUGGAAGAGUAUAUUCCCGUGGAUGGGAGCUCUGCCUUGUAUAUGGGUGGUUCUUCCCAGCUGACUAAGUAAGAUACAGAUAUGCCUGUAAUUCUGAACUUUAUGGAAAACUUUUCUUUAACCAAUCUUUGAUCCAGAGAAAUCUACAGAGGAAACUCUUGGCAUUUCUAGAUGUGUCCCUUGAUCAUUCCAUUUUCCCCAAGGAAGGUUUAAUUAAAAUAUUAGUCUUCACAUUGGUCAGUUAGUUUGAGGGAUCCCUUCACCCUUUGUCUGGAAUCUCUUUUAGGACCCCAGAGGGGCUGGCAGAUUCCUUCUAGAGCCUGUUAGCAGUGGUUUUGUGUUGCUGCUGCUCUGGUCUGCUGCUCCCUGUUUAAUGACUGUGAACCAAGCUUUCAGGUCUGGGGGAACAGAGAUACUUGGGUUUAUACUUUCCUUGUAGGAGCCCAAGAUGUAGGCAGUGGGGGGAACACACUGUCCCCAAGAUGUAGCUUUCCCAUGUGUGACCCCAAUGUCUCCAGGGCCAGCCAGAAGGCUGGUAGUCAACUAAAGAAGGGAUUUUGUAGUAUGACUUCCAUUGGGUGCUCAGUAGAACGGUAUGUUCUCUGGGAUCUAUAAGGUAAUGUAAAAGCUGGGGCCUGAAAUCACCAGCCCUCUCUCUUGUUGCCCUGAAAGCUAAUUUAAUUAUAUAGAGUAAGUUAGCUUAUUUUAACUAUGGAUUUAUUUACAGAGACAUUUUCUCAUUGAUGUGAAGUUCUUGAAUAGAUUCUAAGACUGUAUUUUAAAUCUAUAUGGUAAAAUCUUUUUAACUCUGAUAUUUUAUUUAAUUUUGCUUUUGCAUAGUUGACAACUUUCACUUCCCUGUUAUGACUUCUUUAUGCAUCUUUUUUUGUUCUUUUGUUUUAUUCUUUUUCUCACGUUUAGAAGGUAAGCUUUCUCUUGCCCUCUAGUUUCUUUUUCGCUUCAAAAGAGAAAAGCAUGUCUGUGAGGUUUUUUUGUGCUGUGUGCCGUGCCUUAUUCUGUGUAUAACACUGUGCUUGAAUGUGCGUCAGAAUGUGAUUUAAUAUGGGACUCUAGGCAGUGCUGGGGAGACUGACUGUGGCUCAUAUUGAGUGAUUUCUUUGGGGAAAGCUGAAGGAAAGACAUUACUGUGGGCUAUCAGGCUGCCUAUAUUUGGUGGGUGCCUUCAUUUCUUUUUUGGCCUGGUCUUUCCCAUUGACUUCAUUUGAGGAGCAGGAUUCCCCAGGUAGCUGGGAGACCCCUGAGUUACCUGUGGACCCUGCUGUUGGGAAAGGAGACUUCCAGCUGAUGCUAUCUCUGUACCUGCCUCUCCCACCAGUCUUCUUUGCGGGCUCUGAAAUUUUGCUUUUGGAGAUGCAUCAUUGAGGUUUUAAGCCAUAAUGAAAGAGGGUAGGCUAGAGAGCUUAGAUGAGGCACCUGUCCUUCAUAAUAAUCCUAGCCUUCAAAAUCCAAAGGAAAACAGAAGUGAAGUGUGUCUAAAGGUCUUCCUAACUUCAUUCUGUGGCUCACUGCAUGUUUUGCUGUCCAAACUGAAUUAGCUGUAGUUCUCCAUGACCUCAUGUUCCCCUAACCCAAGCUCUUCGCUUAUUCUCUUUCUUUUGCUUCUAGCAGAUGAGAAAAAGUAAUAAGGAGGAACAGGCAUUUUAACCUUAAUGUUUCUCUAUUUUCAGAAGGGAAAAGCUAUCCAUCAUUUAGUGAAUAAAUGUUAUUGAACUUUAUUUUGUGCAAGUGCCAUCAAGAGCUGCUUCUCUCAUUAAAAAAAUGUAGUCAGUUGAGUUUUCAGGGCUAGGAUUAGGCACUUGGGGAUACAAGUGAAAUAGACCUGGUACUCACCGUGUACAGUCUUGUAGCUGCUCCCAGUUUUAUGCUGAGGAAAACCAAUUUGUUAGGAUGCUACAAAACUAACUUCAUCUGAAAUGAAAGAAGGUAAAUUAAAUUAGCUCAACUCAAGUACACGAUGACAUCAGAAUGAACAAGAGAUGUUUAUGUUUUAAUCUACUGACCAUAAGAAUGAAAAAGAGAUGCUUAUUUUUUAACCUAAUGACAUCAGAAUAAAAAAAGAGGUUUAUUUUUAACCUAAUUUUGCUUUUGUUAUACAUUUAUGUGGUUCAAAUAUCAAAGUGCUGCAAAAAGAUAUACCUGAUAAGUCUUCCUCCUAACCUGGUUCCCAUCCACUCUACCGCUCCUCACCCUCUAAGAGUAAUCAUUUCUAUUGGUUACAAAAAUAGAAAAAAAUUUUACCCUGAAAAUAGAAAUUGGUAGCUAGGAUUUUGGCUCUUUUUCAGUUUUGUAGCAUUACGCAUCUUUCAUUGCUCCACUGUAAGCAGUGAAUUAAUCAGACCUUUUGUCUGACUGUGACUGCUGGGUUCCCAUUCUGUUUAAUGCAUACAGUGUCUUUCACCUCUUCUCGCCCCUACCAAUAAAUAAUUAACUUUGUCUUACCAUACUUGUUUCAUGCCUCCCCAUUGGUGCAGUAUUCUUCUGGAAAGUGAUGAUUCCUCUAGAAAAGUGGGGGAAGAAAGACACUGAAGCCAUGAAGAGAGCAUUGGCCUCCAUAGACUCCAAACUGAACCAGGCCAAAGGUUGGCUCCGUGACCCUAGUGCCUCCCCAGGGGAUGCUGGUGAGCAGGCCAUCAGACAGAUCUUAGAUGAAGCUGGAAAAGUUGGUGAACUCUGUGCAGGCAAAGAACGCAGGGAGAUUCUGGGAACUUGCAAAAUGCUAGGGCAGAUGACUGAUCAAGUGGCUGACCUCCGUGCCAGAGGACAAGGAUCCUCACCGGUGGCCAUGCAGAAAGCUCAGCAGGUAUCUCAGGGUCUGGAUGUGCUCACAGCAAAAGUGGAAAAUGCAGCUCGCAAGCUGGAAGCCAUGACCAACUCAAAGCAGAGCAUUGCAAAGAAGAUCGAUGCUGCUCAGAACUGGCUUGCAGAUCCAAAUGGUGGACCGGAAGGAGAAGAGCAGAUUCGAGGUGCUUUGGCUGAAGCUCGGAAAAUAGCAGAAUUAUGUGAUGAUCCUAAAGAAAGAGAUGACAUUCUACGUUCCCUUGGGGAAAUAUCUGCUCUGACUUCUAAAUUAGCAGAUCUACGAAGACAGGGGAAAGGAGAUUCUCCAGAGGCUCGAGCCUUGGCCAAACAGGUGGCCACGGCCCUGCAGAACCUGCAGACCAAAACCAACCGGGCUGUGGCCAACAGCAGACCGGCCAAAGCAGCUGUACACCUUGAGGGCAAGAUUGAGCAAGCACAGCGGUGGAUUGAUAAUCCCACAGUGGAUGACCGUGGAGUCGGUCAGGCUGCCAUCCGGGGGCUUGUGGCCGAAGGGCAUCGUCUGGCUAAUGUUAUGAUGGGGCCUUAUCGGCAAGAUCUUCUCGCCAAGUGUGACCGAGUGGACCAGCUGACAGCCCAGCUGGCUGACCUGGCUGCCAGAGGGGAAGGGGAGAGUCCUCAGGCGCGAGCACUUGCAUCUCAGCUCCAAGACUCCUUAAAGGAUCUAAAAGCUCGGAUGCAGGAGGCCAUGACUCAGGAAGUGUCAGAUGUUUUCAGCGAUACCACAACUCCCAUCAAGCUGUUGGCAGUGGCAGCCACGGCGCCUCCUGAUGCGCCUAACAGGGAAGAGGUAUUUGAUGAGAGGGCAGCUAACUUUGAAAACCAUUCAGGAAAGCUUGGUGCUACGGCCGAGAAGGCGGCUGCGGUUGGUACUGCUAAUAAAUCAACAGUGGAAGGCAUUCAAGCCUCAGUGAAGACGGCCCGAGAACUCACACCCCAGGUGGUCUCGGCUGCUCGUAUCUUACUUAGGAACCCUGGAAAUCAAGCUGCUUAUGAACAUUUUGAGACCAUGAAGAACCAGUGGAUCGAUAAUGUUGAAAAAAUGACAGGGCUGGUGGACGAAGCCAUUGAUACCAAAUCUCUGUUGGAUGCUUCAGAAGAAGCAAUUAAAAAAGACCUGGACAAGUGCAAGGUAGCUAUGGCCAACAUUCAGCCUCAGAUGCUGGUUGCUGGGGCAACCAGUAUUGCUCGUCGGGCCAACCGGAUCCUGCUGGUGGCUAAGAGGGAGGUGGAGAAUUCCGAGGAUCCCAAGUUCCGUGAGGCUGUGAAAGCUGCCUCUGAUGAAUUGAGCAAAACCAUCUCCCCGAUGGUGAUGGAUGCAAAAGCUGUGGCUGGAAACAUUUCCGACCCUGGACUGCAAAAGAGCUUCCUGGACUCAGGAUAUCGGAUCCUGGGAGCUGUGGCCAAGGUCAGAGAAGCCUUCCAACCUCAGGAGCCUGACUUCCCGCCGCCUCCACCAGACCUUGAACAACUCCGACUAACAGAUGAGCUUGCUCCUCCCAAACCACCUCUGCCUGAAGGUGAGGUCCCUCCACCUAGGCCUCCACCACCAGAGGAAAAGGAUGAAGAGUUCCCUGAGCAGAAGGCCGGGGAGGUGAUUAACCAGCCAAUGAUGAUGGCUGCCAGACAGCUCCAUGAUGAAGCUCGCAAAUGGUCCAGCAAGGGCAAUGACAUCAUUGCAGCAGCCAAGCGCAUGGCUCUGCUGAUGGCUGAGAUGUCUCGGCUGGUAAGAGGGGGCAGUGGUACCAAGCGGGCACUCAUUCAGUGUGCCAAGGACAUCGCCAAGGCCUCAGAUGAGGUGACUCGGUUGGCCAAGGAGGUUGCCAAGCAGUGCACAGAUAAACGGAUUAGAACCAACCUCUUACAGGUAUGUGAGCGAAUCCCAACCAUAAGCACCCAGCUCAAAAUCCUGUCCACAGUGAAGGCCACCAUGCUGGGCCGGACCAACAUCAGUGAUGAGGAGUCUGAGCAGGCCACAGAGAUGCUGGUUCACAAUGCCCAGAACCUCAUGCAGUCUGUGAAGGAGACUGUGCGGGAAGCCGAAGCUGCUUCAAUCAAAAUUCGAACAGAUGCUGGAUUUACACUGCGCUGGGUUAGAAAGACUCCCUGGUACCAGUAGGCACCUGGCUGAGCCUGGCUGGCACAGAAACCUCUACUAAAAAGAAGGAAAAUGAUCUGAGUCCCAGGAGCUGCCCAGAGUUGCUGGGAGCUGAAAAAUCACAUCCUGGCCUGGCACAUCAGAAAGGAAUGGGGGCCUCUUCAAAUUAGAAAACAUUUAUACUCUUUUUUCAUGGACACUUUGAAAUGUGUUUCUGUAUAAAGCCUGUAUUCUCAAACACAGUUACACCUGUGCACCCUCUAUCCCAAUAGGCAGACUGGGUUUCUAGCCCAUGGACUUCACAUAAGCUCAGAAUCCAAGUGAACACUAGCCAGACACUCUGCUCUGCCCUUGUUCCCUAGGGGACACUUCCCUCUGUUUCUCUUUCCUUGGCUCCCAUUCACUCUUCCAGACUCCCAAGACCCAGGGCCCAGGCAAAUCAGUUACUAAGAAGAAAAUUGCUGUGCCUCCCAAAAUUGUUUUGAGCUUUCCAUGUUGCUGCCAACCAUACCUUCCUUCCCUGGGCUGUGCUACCUGGGUCCUUUUCAGAAGUGAGCUUCACUGCUACAGGGGAAGGUGGCCUCUGUGGAGCCCCAGCAUAUGGGGGCCUGGAUUCAUUUCCUGCCCUUCCUCAGUUUAAUCCUUCUAGUUUCCCACAAUAUAAAACUGUAUUUCACUGUCAGGAAGAAAUCACAGAAUCAUAUGAUUCUGCUUUUACCAUGCCCCUGAGCAAUGUCUGUGCUAGGGAAACUUCCCGUCCCAUAUCCUGCCUCAGCCCGCCAAGGUAGCCAUCCCAUGAACACACUGUGUCCUGGUGCUCUCUGCCACUGGAAGGGCAGAGUAGCCAGGGUGUGGCCCUGCCAUCUUCCCAGCAGGGCCACUCCCGGCACUCCAUGCUUAGUCACUGCCUGCAGAGGUCUGUGCUGAGGCCUUAUCAUUCAUUCUUAGCUCUUAAUUGUUCAUUUUGAGCUGAAAUGCUGCAUUUUAAUUUUAACCAAAACAUGUCUCCUAUCCUGGUUUUUGUAGCCUUCCUCCACAUCCUUUCUAAACAAGAUUUUAAAGACAUGUAGGUGUUUGUUCAUCUGUAACUCUAAAAGAUCCUUUCUAAAUUCAGUCCUAAGAAAGAGUGCUUGUCCCCUAAGAGUGUUUAAUGGCAAGGCAGCCCUGUCUGAAGGACACUUCCUGCCUAAGGGAGAGUGGUAUUUGCAGACUAGAAUUCUAGUGCUGCUGAAGAUGAAUCAAUGGGAAAUACUACUCCUGUAAUUCCUACCUCCCUGCAACCAACUACAACCAAGCUCUCUGCAUCUACUCCCAAGUAUGGGGUUCAAGAGAGUAAUGGGUUUCAUAUUUCUUAUCACCACAGUAAGUUCCUACUAGGCAAAAUGAGAGGGCAGUGUUUCCUUUUUGGUACUUAUUACUGCUAAGUAUUUCCCAGCACAUGAAACCUUAUUUUUUCCCAAAGCCAGAACCAGAUGAGUAAAGGAGUAAGAACCCUUGCCUGAACAUCCUUCCUUCCCACCCAUCGCUGUGUGUUAGUUCCCAACAUCGAAUGUGUAAAACUUAAGUUGGUCCUUUACACUCAGGCUUUCACUAUUUCCUUUAAAAUGAGGAUGAUUAUUUUCAAGGCCCUCAGCAUAUUUGUAUAGUUGCUUGCCUGAUAUAAAUGCAAUAUUAAUGCCUUUAAAGUAUGAAUCUAUGCCAAAGAUCACUUGUUGUUUUACUAAAGAAAGAUUACUUAGAGGAAAUAAGAAAAAUCAUGUUUGCUCUCCCGGUUCUUCCAGUGGUUUGAGACACUGGUUUACACUUUAUGCCGGAUGCGCUUUUCUCCAAUAUCAGUGCUCAAGACACAGUGAAGCAAAUUAAAAAAAAAAAAAAUCCCUGAAUGAUGAUUAGAGACAUCACCGCUAAAAAACUACAUUUAUAAGCUAGGAUUUGUUAUAUGCAAAUAUUUUCUGCCUCUUCUUUUGUUCUGUUUAAAACAAUAAAAUGCAUUUGUAUAAAAAA
rnacentral:sRNA from 1 species